GUUUCUGUAGUUGAAUAACAACGGUGGUUUUUCAAGUCACUGGUCCUGGUUAGAACCCGGGUGGGAAUG
rnacentral:tRNA from 1 species